UUUAAAAAUUGGUUUGCGCUCGUUAUGUAAUAGGCAACCCUAUUUACAUUGUAUCAUCUCUUGUGUUCCAUGUUCGUGAUUUCAAAUUUCGUCCAAGGUUCGUUGUCAUGUCAUUUUAAUGACAGUGACAACCCCCAUAUCUCAUUCUCAAAAUGGAAGUGGAAAUGUUUUAAAAAGCAGAGUAGCUCCAAAAUUAAAUCAUUUUCAUUUCAUCAAAUCAUCUCUUGGGUUUUUUGGAAAGAGAUCAACCUUUCCCUCUUCGGGAACUUAAGCCUCACAUCACCGGUGAUGCACACUUGAAGGCGAAGACAAUGACAUCCAGACUGCACAACCACCACCUCUAGCUGCAGGGGCCUUGGGCCGAAGAUCCGCCCAGGCCUACGAGAAGUCUACAACA